GCCUGAGCCAUCCAAUGGAAAAUGGCGGAGUACUUGGCUGUCAUCUUCCGCACCGAGAAAGACAAAGUCAACUGUUCAUUUUAUUUCAAAAUCAAGCAUGUUGUCAUGGAGACUGAUGUUCUCAGUUAUACAAUAAACUGACCUUUAGCAAGACCAUUGCCCUCUUGAACAUUUACCGUAACCCUAGAAUUCUUUCCAGUCUGUUGACGGUUUGUGCUGUGCUGUGAGCAACGUGGAGAUACAGGAGCACUAUGAUGAGUUCUUUGAGGAAGUCUUCAGUAAAAUGGAAGAAAAGUAUGCAGAGGUUGAGGAGAUGAAUGGCAGUGACAACCUAGGAGACCACUUACAGGGGGCUGGGGAUUUAGCUCAGUGGUAGAGCGCUUACCUAGGAAGCUCAAGGCCCUGGGUUCGGUCCCCAGCUCCAAAAAAAAAAAAAAAAAAAAAAGGAGACCACUUACUGGGGAACGUGUACGUCAAGUUUCGAAGUGAAGAGAAAGCUGUAAUCAACUUGAAUAAUUGUUGGUUUAAUGGGCAGCCAAUCCAUGCAAAGCUGUCACCAGUAACUGACUUUAGGGAAGCCUGCUGCCUCCAGUAAGAAAGGAGGGAGUGCACAAAAGGGGGCU
rnacentral:lncRNA from 1 species